AGAGUUCGAUCUUGGCUAAGGAUUAAUGCUGGCGGCAUGCUUAACACAUGCAAGUCGAACGAGAAGUGGUGUUACUAGUGGCGAACAGGUGAGUAAAGCAUAAGAACCUACCCUUGGGAGGGGAACAACAACUUUAAACGAUUGCUAAUACCCCAUAGGCUAAGGAGCAAAAGGAGAAUGAAAUCCGCCCUAGGAGGGGCUCGCGUAUGAUUAGCUAUUUGGUGAGGCAAUAGCUUACCAAGGCGAUGAUCAGUAGCUGGUCCAAGAGGAUGAUCAACCACACUAGGACUGAGACGCGACCAGACUCCUACGAGAGGCAGCAGUGGACAAUUUUCCGCAAUGGGCGAAAGCCUGACGGAGCAAUGUCGCGUGGAGGUGGAAGGCCAAUGGGUCAUCAACUUCUUUUGUCGGAGAAGAAAUAAUGACGGUAUUUGAGGAAUAAGCAUCAGCUAACUCUAUGCCAGCUGCCGCGGUAAGAGAGAGGAUCCAAGCAUUAUCCGGAAUGAUUGGGCGUAAAUCGCCUGUAGGUGGCUUUUCAAGUCCGCCGUCAAAUCCCAGGGCUCAACCCUGGACAAGCAGUGGAAACUACCAAGCUGGAGUAUGGUAGGGGCAGAGGGAAUUUCCGGUGGAGCGGUGAAAUGCAUUGAGAUCGGAAAGAACACCAACGGCGAAAGCACUCUGCUGGGCCGACACUGACACUGAGAGACAACCAAAGCACUCUACUGGGCCGACACUGAUACCGAGAGACAAAAUAUAGGGGAUCAAAUGGGAUUAGAGAUCCCAGUAGUCCUAACCGUAAACGAUGGAUACUAGGUGCUAUGCGACUCUACACGUGCAGUGCUAUAGCUAACGCGUUAAGUACCCCGCUUGGGGAGUACCUUCGUAAGAAUGAAACUCAAAGGAAUUGACGGGGCCUGCACAAGCGGUGGAGCAUGUGGUUUAAUUCGAUGCAAAGUGAAAAACCUUACCAGGGUUUGACAUGCUGCGAAUUCUCUUGAAAGAGAGGGGUGCCCCCGGGAACGCGGAGACAGGUGGUGCAUGGCUAUCAUCAGCUCGUGUCGUAAGGUGUUGGGUUAAGUGUCGCAACGAAUACAACCGUCGUGUUUAGUUGCCACCAUGACUUUGGAACCCUGAAUAGACCUCCGGUGUUAAGCUGGAGGAUGGAGAGGAUGAGGCCUAGUCAUCUUGCCCCUUAUGCCCUGGGCAACACACGUGUUUGAAUUGGCAGGACAAAGGGUCGCGAUCUCGGACGGUGAGAUAACUCCAAAAAUCCAUCCCCAAUUCGGAUUGCACCCUGUAACUCGACUGCAUGAAGCAGGAAUCGUUAGUAAUCGUCGGUCAGCUAUAUAGUCCGCGACGCCCCUUGAUGGUCGGGACACGACAGCCGUGCCGCCCCCGAUGGCCGAGUCGCAGAAGCCGUGGCGACCCUCGACGGCCAGGACAUGGUUGCCGCUGUGCCCUCGAACUGCCGGAAUGCUUCAUUCGUUGCACCCGCUGACAGUCGGACAAC
rnacentral:rRNA from 1 species